rnacentral:rRNA from 1 species
GUGGGGAAUAUUGCACAAUGGGGGAAACCCUGAUGCAGCGACGCCGCGUGAGUGAAGAAGUAUUUCGGUAUGUAAAGCUCUAUCAGCAGGGACGAAGAUGACGGUACCUGCAGAAGAAGCCCCGGCUAACUACGUGCCAGCAGCCGCGGUAAUACGUAGGGGGCAAGCGUUAUCCGGAUUUACUGGGUGUAAAGGGAGCGUAGACGGCAGUGCAAGCCAGAAGUGAAAGCCCGGGGCUCAACCGCGGGACUGCUUUUGGAACUGCACGGCUGGAGUACAGGAGAGGUAAGCGGAAUUCCUAGUGUAGCGGUGAAAUGCGUAGAUAUUAGGAGGAACACCAGUGGCGAAGGCGGCUUACUGGACUGAGACUGACGUUGAGGCUCGAAAGCGUGGGGAGCAAACAGG